GGCUAGCUUGCUUGCACCUCAACAAACAUGUACAUUCUUAUUUCCAGAGUUCGUUUGUGAGAAUCCAAUUUUUUGAUUUUCUAAAAGAUAGAAAAAAACCCACUAAAUUGAAUAAUUAUAAUUUUUGAGCUAUCAUAUGGAAAAUAUCUAGGCAUGAUUCUGAUCAUUGUCCUUGUGGCUUGAAUCACCAACAAGAUGUGGUUUAAGGCUUCAUUUGAUUAAGUAUCCUAGGUUCCCAACGACAAGAUCUCCUUCUUUAAUGGCUCUAUCACCACCAAAGAUAAGUCGUGGUCAUCAGUUUUCAGUAAAAGGAAAGAAAAGGAAGAAGAAGAAUGACUGAAUAAACCAAAAAAACAAAAUUUUGAGGAGAACAUGUUUUUGGAGGGUUCCAAACAUUAAUGCACACACAUUGAAUCUAGACUCACAAGUAUAUAAAACCCGGCAUUGGAGAAUUAACCUUCAUGAUGUAUGUUACAUUGACAUCAACAUGAUACCAGGUUUGCUAGCAUCCGCUAUCAAUUCUUUUCUAGUAUCUGGUAUUUUGUUAGAGGCAUAAAAAUACCCAUAUCCAUGCCUAUUUGUUUGACUUGAGUGUAUCAGCGGAAACCAAGAGUCUGCUUGUGUCAAUAGUGGGAUUAGUGGCAAUCCGCACACAGUUGCUUUGUGAAGUCCAAUUAUUCCAAAAUUAGUUCCAACUAGGAGCAGAAAGAAUGGGUCAUUUGGUGAACGUUUCGUUUUGUUGGAACUGAAUCAUCGUGGGAAUAACUUAUGUUUCAUCUGUUCUUUCU